CCAGCACCUGCGGUAAUUCCAGCUCCAAUAGCGUAUAUUAAAAUUGUUGCAGUUAAAAAGCUCGUAGUUGGAUUUCUGGUUCGGCGCACUUGGCCCGUCUCGGUUUACGGGAUUGCGUGCCGGUGUGCGCCAUCCAUCCUUCGAGUGGUCAGUUCUGCCCUUCACUGGGUUGGGGCUGGGUGCUCGAUCAUUUACUUUGAAAAAAUUAGAGUGUUUAAAGCUGGCUUGCGCUAUGAAUACAUUAGCAUGGAAUAAUAAUUUAGGACUUUGGUCUUAUUUUGUUGGUUUCUAGGACUAAAGUAAUGAUUGAUAGGGAUAGUUGGGGGUGCUAGUAUUCAGCGGCCAGAGGUGAAAUUCUUGGAUUCGCUGAAGACUAACUUAUGCGAAAGCAUUCACCAAGGAUGUCUUCUUUAAUCAAG
rnacentral:rRNA from 1 species